UGUCUAAUAAUAACGCUAAAGUAGGAGACAUGUUGACAUCAAUCAUCUCUGCCCUGAGGCUUCUUGGCGUCGUGUCUCAAACACAUGGAGCGCAUUGUGGAGAAGCACGUUGAAGCCAGAUAGCUGGGAACAUGGCUGGCCUGAAGGCGGGUGCUAGCUGACUCCGUGGGCGAUGAAGCGUGCGCUGUUCUUGUUCGCCUGGACCCAUGAUGACAUAAUCCCCUGCAUGCCUGUCAGCCUUGUGGGUCUUGACCAGAGAAGGGAUGAAGAGUUACAGCAGACAGCUGCAGGUGUUGCUGGUGACAGAUUCUUCUGGUGACAGCAUGUUAGUGCUCGCUAUUGUCCUUGUGUCUCCCUCUCCCUGGGACGCUGCGUUUGAACUCCUCAAGGUUCUUCUCAUCAUUAGUCCUGAACUGGCAUGAUCUGAGAAUCCUGAGAGGCUUCUGUCAACAAUGAUCUGAAUAACCAGUGCAUCUCUACAGAUAAGAAGCCACACACUUUCACAAGUCC